rnacentral:rRNA from 1 species
UACGAAGGGGGCUAGCGUUGUUCGGAUUUACUGGGCGUAAAGCGCACGUAGGCGGAUCGUUAAGUCAGGGGUGAAAUCCUGGGGCUCAACCCCAGAACUGCCUUUGAUACUGGCGAUCUUGAGUCCGGAAGAGGUGAGUGGAACUCCUAGUGUAGAGGUGGAAUUCGUAGAUAUUAGGAAGAACACCAGUGGCGAAGGCGGCUCACUGGUCCGGUACUGACGCUGAGGUGCGAAAGCGUGGGGAGCAAACAGG